UCAGCCGCCGCGGUAAAACCAGCACCUCGAGUGGUCAGGAGGUUUAUUGGGCCUAAAGCAUCCGUAGCCGGUCGCAUAAGUUUUCGGUUAAAUCUAUGCGCUUAACGUAUAGGCCGCCGAAAAUACUGUGCAGCUAGGGAGCGGGAGAGGUACACGGUACUCGAUAGGAAGGGGUAAAAUCCUUUGAUCUAUUGAUGACCACCUGUGGCGAAGGCGGUGUACCAGAACACGUUCGACGGUGAGGGAUGAAAGCUGGGGGAGCAAACCGGAUUAGAUACCCGGGUAGUCCCAGCUGUAAACGAUGCAGACUCGGUGAUGCAUUGGCUUGUGGCCAAUACAGUGCCGCAGGGAAGCCGUUAAGUCUGCCGCCUGAGAAGUACGUACGCAAGUAUGAAACUUAAAGGAAUUGGCGGGGGAGCACA
rnacentral:rRNA from 1 species